GUAGACCUACGGGGGGCAGCAGCCGCGGUAAUACGUAGGGGGCAAGCGUUGUUCGGAAUGACUGGGCGUAAAGGGUGUGUAGGCGGUGUAGCAAGUUAGAAGAGAAAUACCUAGAGCUUAACUCAGGUGCUGCUUCUAAAACUGCUAUACUUGAGUGCAGUAGAGGAAAGUGGAAUUCCUAGUGUAGCGGUGGAAUGCGUAGAUAUUAGGAGGAACAUCAGUGGCGAAGGCGACUUUCUGG
rnacentral:rRNA from 1 species